rnacentral:rRNA from 1 species
CCCUGAAGACGAGGAGCUUGCUCUUCUUGGAUGAGUUGCGAACGGGUGAGUAACGCGUAGGUAACCUGCCUUGUAGCGGGGGAUAACUAUUGGAAACGAUAGCUAAUACCGCAUAACAAUGGAUGACACAUGUCAUUUAUUUGAAAGGGGCAAUUGCUCCACUACAAGAUGGACCUGCGUUGUAUUAGCUAGUAGGUGAGGUAAUGGCUCACCUAGGCGACGAUACAUAGCCGACCUGAGAGGGUGAUCGGCCACACUGGGACUGAGACACGGCCCAGACUCCUACGGGAGGCAGCAGUAGGGAAUCUUCGGCAAUGGGGGCAACCCUGACCGAGCAACGCCGCGUGAGUGAAGAAGGUUUUCGGAUCGUAAAGCUCUGUUGUAAGUCAAGAACGGGUGUGAGAGUGGAAAGUUCACACUGUGACGGUAGCUUACCAGAAAGGGACGGCUAACUACGUGCCAGCAGCCGCGGUAAUACGUAGGUCCCGAGCGUUGUCCGGAUUUAUUGGGCGUAAAGCGAGCGCAGGCGGUUUGAUAAGUCUGAAGUUAAAGGCUGUGGCUCAACCAUAGUUCGCUUUGGAAACUGUCAAACUUGAGUGCAGAAGGGGAGAGUGGAAUUUCCAUGUGUAGCGGUGAAAUGCGUAGAUAUAUGGAGGAACACCGGUGGCGAAAGCGGCUCUCUGGUCUGUAACUGACGCUGAGGCUCGAAAGCGUGGGGAGCGAACAGGAUUAGAUACCCUGGUAGUCCACGCCGUAAACGAUGAGUGCUAGGUGUUGGAUCCUUUCCGGGAUUCAGUGCCGCAGCUAACGCAUUAAGCACUCCGCCUGGGGAGUACGACCGCAAGGUUGAAACUCAAAGGAAUUGACGGGGGCCCGCACAAGCGGUGGAGCAUGUGGUUUAAUUCGAAGCAACGCGAAGAACCUUACCAGGUCUUGACAUCCCGAUGCUAUUUCUAGAGAUAGAAAGUUACUUCGGUACAUCGGUGACAGGUGGUGCAUGGUUGUCGUCAGCUCGUGUCGUGAGAUGUUGGGUUAAGUCCCGCAACGAGCGCAACCCCUAUUGUUAGUUGCCAUCAUUCAGUUGGGCACUCUAGCGAGACUGCCGGUAAUAAACCGGAGGAAGGUGGGGAUGACGUCAAAUCAUCAUGCCCCUUAUGACCUGGGCUACACACGUGCUACAAUGGUUGGUACAACGAGUUGCGAGUCGGUGACGGCGAGCUAAUCUCUUAAAGCCAAUCUCAGUUCGGAUUGUAGGCUGCAACUCGCCUACAUGAAGUCGGAAUCGCUAGUAAUCGCGGAUCAGCACGCCGCGGUGAAUACGUUCCCGGGCCUUGUACACACCGCCCGUCACACCACGAG